CUUUCCUUAGGGGAACUUGGGGAGGAUCAUUAUUGAAAUCCUAUUAGCGAAGGAAUUGUGCUGGUUAAGAAUAAUGCCUGUUGCCCACUCGGAAGUAAUAUAAUUAUACCCCUGUGAACCCAACGUAGUCCGGGGAAAUUCUAACUAUGAUUUCCCUAUAUAACUUCUAUUGUAUGUUACAUAGAACGGUUUUAUAUUGAAACUUUGUUUUUCGGCAAGUUUUUUUUAAUUAAAAAUAUUCCACUUUUAACCACGGAUUUUUUGGGUUUUGCCUUGAUGAAGGACGCAGGGAAAUGCGAUAAGUAAUGUGAAUUGCCGGAUCCCGGGAAUUCUUGGAUUUUUGAACGCCCCCUGCGCCCUUUGGUAUUUCGAGGGGCCAGCCUGUUUGAGAGUCCUUAAAUUUUCAACCUUACAAAUUUUUGUAUUUGUCCAGGCUUGGAAGUGAGAGGUGCUGGUUAGAGUAUAUUUUGACUGGCUUUCUUUAAAACUAUUAGUAGGACCAGUAGAAAAGCCUUCGGGUGGUGGGAUAAUAAGUUCACGCCCAUACCGGAAGGGGGAUUCUAGCUUGUAUGUACUACUUAUAAAAUCAUGCGCAUAUAUCUAGCAUAUAAGUGCAUAUAUUGACCAUUGACCUCAAAUCAGGUAGACUGCCGAGU
rnacentral:rRNA from 1 species